UGCCAGCAGCCGCGGUAAUACGUAGGUCUCGAGCGUUAUCCGGAUUUACUGGGCGUAAAGCGUCUGUAGCCGGAUAGUUAAGUCUAUUUUCAAAGAUCCUGACUCAAUCAGGAAAAGGGAAUAGAUACUGACUAUCUAGAGUAUUUUGGAGGUUAGUGGAAUUUCCGGUGGAGCGGUGAAAUGCGUUGAUAUCGGAAGGAACGCCAAAAGUGAAAACAGCUAACUAUGAAAUUACUGACGGUGAGAGACGAGAGCUUGGGUAGCAAACGGGAUUAGAUA
rnacentral:rRNA from 1 species